AUGGAGCUCAUCAGCGGCGUCAGCGGUGGGGGCGCGUCCUCGACGGCGGAGUGGUACCGCGCGGAGGCGGCACGGGCGUUCCAGCACUACCUAGAUCGGGCGGCGCCGCACGCGGCGGGGCGGUGGGAGGGCACGCUGUUGGUCCCAGCCGUCUACGCGUUGAGGGUCUACUACGUGCAUGGCUUCUACGUCGUCUCCUACGACCUCGACAUCUACCUCCUCAACCUCCUCAUCGGCUUCCUCUUCCCCAUGGUCGACCCGGAGCUCAAGGAACUCGACCAGGCCGGCCUCGCGCUCCCCACCUGUGGCAACAAUGAUUUCAAGCCAUUCAUCCGCCGCCUCCCCGAGUUCAAGUGCUGGUAUAUCCAUCUGCUGCUCCCUUCUCGUCUCCAUCCCCCUUUGUGA
rnacentral:rRNA from 1 species